rnacentral:tRNA from 1 species
GGGGGAAUGGUGUAAUUGGUAGCACGAGGGAUUCUGAUUCCCUUAGUUCGGGUUCGAGUCCCGGUUCCCCUA